CCUACGGGUGGCUGCAGUGGGGAAUAUUGGACAAUGGGCGAAAGCCUGAUCUAGCCAUGCCGCGUGUGUGAAGAAGGCCUUCGGGUUGUAAAGCACUUUCAGUGGGGAAGAAAGCCUUGGGGCUAAUACCCUCGAGGAAGGACAUCACCCACAGAAGAAGCACCGGCUAACUCCGUGCCAGCAGCCGCGGUAAUACGGAGGGUGCGAGCGUUAAUCGGAAUUACUGGGCGUAAAGCGCGCGUAGGCGGUCUGAUAAGCCGGUUGUGAAAGCCCCGGGCUCAACCUGGGAACGGCAUCCGGAACUGUCAGGCUAGAGUGCAGGAGAGGAAGGUAGAAUUCCCGGUGUAGCGGUGAAAUGCGUAGAGAUCGGGAGGAAUACCAGUGGCGAAGGCGGCCUUCUGGACUGACACUGACGCUGAGGUGCGAAAGCGUGGGUAGCAAACAGGAUUAGAUACCCUGGUAGUC
rnacentral:rRNA from 1 species